rnacentral:rRNA from 1 species
AACGAACGCUGGCGGCAGGCCUAAUACAUGCAAGUCGAACGGUGUCUUCGGACAUAGUGGCGCACGGGUGCGUAACACGUAUGCAACCUACCUUACAUUGGGGGAUAGCCUUUCGAAAGGGAGAUUAAUACCGCAUAAGACAGUAGCUGGGCAUCCAGCAGCUGUUAAAGAUUUAUCGAUGUCAGCUGGGCAUGCGUCCAAUUAGCUAGUUGGUGAGGUAACGGCUCACCAAGGCAAUGAUUGGUAGGGGAACUGAGAGGUCAAUCCCCCACACUGGCACUGGGAUACGGGCCAGACUCCUACGGGAGUCAGCAGUAGGGAAUAUUGGGCAAUGGACGCAAGUCUGACCCAGCCAUGCCGCGUGCAGGAUGAAGGCGUUAUGCGUUGUAAACUGCUUUUAUACAGGAAGAAACGACUCUUGCGAGAGGCAUUGACGGUACUGUAUGAAUAAGCACCGGCUAACUCCGUGCCAGCAGCCGCCGUAAAAC